GGGCCCGCACAAGCAGUGGAGCAUGUGGUUUAAUUCGAUGCAACGCGAAGAACCUUACCAGGCCUUGACAUCCUCGGAACUUUCUAGAAAUAGAUUGGUGCCUUCGGGAACGCAGUGACAGGUGCUGCAUGGCUGUCGUCAGCUCGUGUCGUGAGAUGUUGGGUUAAGUCCCGUAACGAGCGCAACCCCUAUCCUUAUUUGCCAGCACAUUAUGGUGGGAACUAUAAGGAGACUGCCGGUGAUAAACCGGAGGAAGGCGGGGACGACGUCAAGUCAUCAUGGCCCUUACGACCAGGGCUACACACGUGCUACAAUGGGAUGGACAAAGAGUCGCGAAGCCGGCGAGGUGUAGCUAAUCUCACAAACCUUCUCGUAGUCCGGAUUGGAGUCUGCAACUCGACUCCAUGAAGUCGGAAUC
rnacentral:rRNA from 1 species